CUUAUAAAAGCGACCUCAGUUCGGAUUGAAGGCUGAAAUUCGCCUUCAUGAAGUCGGAAUUGCUAGUAAUGGCAGGUCAGCAUACUGCCGUGAAUACGUUCCCGGGCCUUGUACACACCGCCCGUCACACCAUGAGAGUUGGAGAUACCCGAAGCCUAUGAGCUAACUUUUAGAGGCAGUAGUCGAAGGUAGAAUCAAUGAUUGGGGUGAAGUCGUAACAAGGUAAC
rnacentral:rRNA from 1 species